CGCGGAGCAGGGCGGGAGGGCUGUUUCCAUAGCAAAGACGGCCGGUUGGGGAUGGCUGGCGGAGAAAUGGGGCAGGCCGCGGGCCCCUCGAAGAGUCGUGCGUGACCUCGGGCAGUCUCUUGGGAGGCCGUUUGCAAUUCUUUAUUUUCUCUUCUAUUCACAUCUCGGGACCCUAGGCCUCAGUUUUCCUAUCUGGGAAAGGGUGGCAACGAGCCGUCCCCUGACCCAUGCCUUGAGGUGAUAAGGCAAACCCAGGGCUAGCCUCUUUGGUUCUUGGCCUGCAAAGGUGAAGGAGGAUGGAGAGGACCUUCCCUGUGCAUUCUGAACCUUACCUUUGCGUUUUUUGUCGCACCAUAUCAUAGAGGAGCAUAACCCAUGGGCCGCCAAGGCCUUCGGGCGUCCUAGGUUCUGGCUUCCUCACCACCGCUGGCUACCACAGCGUCUCCACCAACACCGCCAGAGGGCGCUUCUCUUGCUUAAAACCGGUCAACGGCUUCGCGUUCGUUGCCUCGGGAGUUUCAGAUCGUACUCCUCAGCGUGGCGGGCCUUGCUGGGACAACAGUGGUGACCAGGAUGCACGCCUUGGCCUCAGGUGACAGCCAUUCUUUUGCUGCUGAAAUGCUCUCAUGUGUGUCUCCUCGUACACCUGCAGGGGUUGCUCCAGGGUCUAUGUGCAUCGUGAACUGGAACAGCUACUGUCUCCAGGCAACCUCCCAUCUGCUGCUCGGUGUCUACAGAUGAGUUUGCAUUUUCUGAAUUUUAAAUAAGUGGAUUCAUUUGGUAUGAACUAUUUUUGUUCUUUCAUUCAACAUAAUUAUUUUGAGAUUCCUCCAUGCUCUUGUGUAGACUGAUAGUUCAUUCUGUCUCUUUGCUGAGUAGUAUUCCACUGCAUGGGUUAUUGCACAAUUUGCUUCUCUCUUCACGUGUUGAUGGACAUCCGGGUUGUUUCCAGUUUGGGGCUGUUACAGAUAAAGUUGCUCUAAGUGUUUGUGUAUAAGUGUCUGUGUGAAUACUUGCUUCUCUUCCUCUUGGGUAAAUAAAUAUUUAGGAAUGGCCAUGUGAUAGAUAUACUCACGUUUCACUUAAAAUACAUGUUUCUAGUUUAUUGAUUAAAGAGACAGAGUGAGAGUGAGAGUGAGAGUGAGAGUGAGAGAGAGAGAGAGAGAGAGAGAUCCAGUUCAAUGGCUCCUACAAUGGCCAAGGCUGAGCCAGGGCUAGAGCCAGGAAUUGGGAAAUUAAUCCAGGUCUCCCAUGUGAGUAGUAGGAACCCAAUUACCUGGGCCACAACCUGCUGCCUCACAAGGUCUACACUGGGGAAGCCUGGAGUGAAGAGCUAAAGAUGGAAAUCAAAUAUAGACACUUAGAUGUGGGAUAGGGUGUUUUAACUGCUAGGUUAAAAGCCCACUGCCGGGCUGGCGCCGCAGCUCAAUAGGCUAAUCCUUUACCUUUUGGCGCUGGCACACCGGGUUCUAGUCCCGGUCGGGGCACCGGAUUCUUUCCCAGUUGCCCCUCUUCCAGGCCAGCUCUCUGCUGUGGCCCGGAGGUGCAGUGGAGGAUGGCCCAAGAACUUGGGCCCUGCACCCAUGGGAGACCAGGAGAAGCACCUGGCUCCUGCCAUCGGAUCAGUGCGGUGCGCCGGCCGCGGCAGCCAUUGGAGGGUGAACCAAUGGCAAAAAGGAAGACCUUUCUCUCUGUCUCUCUCUCUCACUGUCCACUCUGCCUGUCAAAAAUAAUAAAAAUUAAAAAAAAUUUAAAAAAAGCCCACUGCCAUAAAAAAUUAUUUGAAAGGUAGAAAUACAGACACAGAGAGACAUAGUAUGUUUUACUUUUAAAAAAAGAUUAUUUAUUUAUUUGAAAGGCAAAGUGACAGAGAGAGAGAGAGAAAUAGAGAGAGUAGAGAGCUCUUCCAUCUACUGGUUCACUCUCCAGAUGACCACAAUGGCCUGGGCAUGGCCAGGAGCCAGGAGCUCCAUCUGGGUCUCCCACGUAGGUGGCAAGGGACCAUCUUCUGCUGCUUUUCCAGGCACAUUAGCAGGGAGUUGGAUCAGAAGUGGAGCAGCUGAAACUUGAAUCAGUGCUCAUAUGGGAUGCUGGCAACCUGAUGCACCACAGUGCCCACCCCAAGUGUUUUACUUUUUAAGAAAGUGCCAAGCUGUGUGCCAAAGUACCCAUUGUGUUUCACAUUCCCACCAGCACUGGAAGAGCCUUCCUCAGCUGGCUGCAAGCUACGGGAAUCUUAGUACUGAGUCUCCGUUAGAUUGGCCCAGCUAGUGACUACAGCUGAAGCCCAAGACCUGCACUCCCAGGUCCUGGCCAAAGAGCUGGACUGUCCCGUGUGCCUUCCCAAGGUGGUGUUGGUGCCACCUUCUCUCAGGAGGCUUUUGGCACGUGGGCUGCCCCAGGGGCUUCAGGAAUUGAGCAGGACCAGGAGGGGUGAUGAGCUGUGGGGACUUUCCAGCUCAGCACCUGUGAGGAUCCCUCUGGACCUGCAGAGUCCAUGAUCCCAGAUUGCAGAAGUUAGUUUUUGCACAGAUGAAUUCUCUGAGCUGAUGUCAGGGCUCCCACAUACCAUAGGAGCAGCCAUGGUCCCUGGCUCAGGGCCCUGCUCCAGGGAAGUAGCUCCUGAGUCCAGGGCCCCAGAGCCCUCAGGGUCUUCUCAGAUGGAAGAAUGCUGAUUUCCCACAGGAAAGCUGUGGACAGAAUCAGGACUAGAGGCCAAUCUCAAUGUCAGGGUCACUAGUGACCACUGCUGCGGCCUGGCCAUUCUGAUUUGUGACUCAGGAUCUCUGGUGUUCCACACAAUGUGCAAGGUGUGAGUCCUUCUAGAGUUUGGGGUAUGCUAUUCAUUCAUUCACCCACUAAUUCAUGCAUCAGCCUUCAUCAGUGCCUCCUCAGAAUUAGAGUUAACUCAGGCAGGUUGGGGUGCAGUUGUGAGAACCCCUUCCUUCCUGUCCCUGCCAUGGGAUUUCAAGAGAAUUUAACAGGAGGGGCAUUGAUGGUUUCUUCACAGACAGUGACCAGUUCUUGUCUGGGACAGUCGGCAGGAGGGCGGUCGUGGGAUCUGAGCAGGGCCGUGGUGGUAGGAGGGAGGACAAGGCAGCGCAGGGUGAGGGGGUGGUCAGCUCUUGCUUCUCGUGGUUCUAAUACUACUCUCACUGGCACCUGCCAGACACUGAGUGCAUUUCUGAUGUGUAGAUGAGCAGGUCAUGGAGGGGAAAGGAUGGCUGCUUGGUCUCAGGAGCGAAGCCUGAAACCAGCCCUUGGAGGUGGCUGUUGGGCCAAGGCAUGCAUCUCCCCACCCAGCCACCCCUGCCUGAGCGGCCAUCCUUCCUGAGGUGAAGGGGGGACCUCAGAUGUCCUCGCACCCCCACCCCACCCCAGAUUCAGCAGGAAGCCACAGACUAACGUCUGAUAGUCCUCAGCCUUUGACUCCCUGAGUCUCACCGUCAUCCACCAAAGGUAGGUGCUUGAUCCCUUCCUGCCCCAGAUUCCUCAAGGCAGUGAAGGGUUCCCUGGGGCCAUGACUUUGAACUGCUGAUAAGCAGUGGCCUUGGUUUACCUUGGAUACCCCAUCCUCUGGGGCAGGAGGAGAGGAGCAGGGAAACCAGAGGCUGGUGGGGGAGGCUCGAUCCUUGUCAAGGAGGAACUGACUGAGUCUCAGCUGGAAUCAGGAGCCUCUGCAUUGUGUGACCUUUUCUUGGUUAUGUACAGCGAGGGCAGCGCAGGCCAGCCCGUCAGUAGAAGGACCCAGAUGGCCUCCGAAUGGCAUUCACCAAAACCAGUUUCCUUUCAAAUUAGUGUGCUGGGUAGGGCGGGGAGCAUGGGCUGCUGGGUGUGUUAGUGUAGGUGGGGCCCUGGGGAUGCAUGGGGCGGGGGAACAGCCUGGAGGCCUGGGUUCCAAGCCCUUGUGUCUCCCCCAACCAUGAGAGGGAAUCCCUUCUCCUCACUGGGCCGACUCUGGCUCUGAUCCCAGGGGACUGCAAAUCCUUGUUUGUGUCCCAGUCCAGAUACUAGGCACAGGUGGUGGUGGGGAAGAAGGCAGCAGAGCAGAAGCUGCUCCCUCCUGCCUCUCUGGCUAAGGUUUCAGCUAUUCAGCCAGUUGGCACCAAGUGUUUACAAUGAGUGCAUCUCAGCCUGAGAUCUAAGGGGGGUCUAAAUCAGACCACCUGGGAGGGUUUGAUGCGUUAUGAUCAAUGAGGUUAUUUGGUCACUGGCUCCUUGUUAUAGUGAACUGCCUUUUAGGUCACCUGGGGUUUCAGAGCUAGGAGAGCACUUAGAGGUGUCCACUCACUCCUUUAGUUCAUAGAGGAUGAAUCAGAGACCUUGAGGGGUAGGAAGAAAUGGCAGCCUCAUCUGCAUGGGCCCCAUGGACUCCUAGGGAUCUCAGUGCUUUGGCCUUCUGGGUUGGCAGUGGUCUUUGGUUCUGUCACUGCCACCACCUUGGCCUAUUGCCUGCCCUGUGGCGUGAUCAAUAGGGUCUUCCUUUUCCUGUUAUUAAGGAGAGAGGAGAGCCUGUCUGGGCAGGCCUGGCUGGUGAAUGAGGCCCUCCUGUAAGCCAGGCUUCUGCAGCAAUUGGUAGCAUCCCCAGGGUUGGGGAACAGUUGUCCACGUGUAGGAGUUUGGACUCAGAUAACACAGGUGAGGAGUCCAUAGCCAGAGUGGGGGGUGGGGCCUGGGUCCCGACCCAGUGCCAGGAGAUAAGGUUGUGAAGUGCCAGGCAGUGCCUGGUAGAGUGGGGAGCCGUGGCUGUAGCUGUCAUUCUCAGGCUGGGGCUGAGGCUUUACUGGUAAAGACCCGAGCCAGGCACUGAGUGGUGGUGUCAGCCUGAGGCACCAGGAAGAGGCCUAGUGAGGAGGUGCUUGGGCACAGGCCAGAUGGUCCAGCCAGGCAUUCAUCCCUGGACUCAGGACAUGAAUUCCUGCCAGCAACUCAGGUGCAGCCAGAGGGUGACCCUUCUAUCUCAUGCAGCCCUGCCAGGAAGUUUCCCCCGGGCAGCUGCCACCCGGCCUCAGGGGAGGGAGGAGGAAUGCAGAUCUGGGCGGGGCAUGCCCCAGGAGUGAGGCUGUGAUCUGGGUGCUGUAUUUGUGCAGCAAGCACUCCCGCUGGGUUAUUGGCACCACCUGGAAGCUACAGAUGUGGGGUACACAGCCCAGGGAGUGUGGCCUUGCCCUAAGACAGGUGCCCCCCCCCCCGACAGGUGCCUCUAACCCUUUCUCUGUGCCCUCCAUACCUGUCUAGGUCCCAUGUGGAGAUGCCCCUGGCUGCUUGCCCAGUGAGCAAGAGAGGAAGAGAAUGCAGCCAGACAGAUGGGCCCUCAGCACCCAGGGGCCACUGCCAGCCUGCAAGGGAUGAGGGAUGACCUGAAGCCCUAGCACAUCUGUGAGGGGGGAAAUGAGCAGGCUGGAUGAGCCCCUGACCCUGACCUUUUUGGUGACCACUGAGAACUUCCAGACUCAAACCUCUGAUGCUUCAGAUGCAAGCAGACACUGCCGCCAUCUUCUCUCCUCGUGCCUAUUCCGCUCUUGGUGCCCCUGAUCCUGCCCCUUAACCAUCCCUUCCUUGCUCUUCCAAAUUUUUCCUGCCUACCCCUGGCCCAUCUUAGUCCCUCCACAUCCUGCAGGCAGCCUUCUCUCCUGGACCAGCCAUGCGGACGCCUGUCCCUAGCUCUGCCUGGUUCUGUGGUACAUGCAGCGGUUGUUGGUCUCCAGCGAGGGCAGGUUGAGGGGGUGAUGAGGAUCUGGCAGUGGAGACAGUGAGACAGGAAUAGUCGGCGGGGAGCCAGGCCUGUCUGGCCAGUGUAUCUGGGGACUGGGCACAGCAAUGGUAGACCUGGCCCUAGACUAGCUGGCGGGGUCAGGCUGGUGCUUCACCAGCGUAUUAGUCAGGGCUGUGCUCAGUGGCAGAGACCUGGGGUUCUGGCCUCUCUGAAGGAUGGGGUGAAGGCUAUGGCCUCCCCUGGGACUCAUGGCAGCAGGAAUCAGGAAAUGAGGCAGGGUGACUGGAUAUGAUUGGGAGUCAUUAGAAGGCCUAUUGUGGGUGCAAAGGCAAACACCCCAGUUUGUGGGGCUCCACCUGCUAAAUGGGGCAGUACCUCUUUCCCAACAGGCUUGGAUCAGAGUUUGUGGGAGGCAACCAUGGAGCAUUUGACAGGGCAGCCCCACCCAUCGUUUAAUCCCACCCCCACUUAGUACCUUGAGGGCAUCAGUGCCCCAAGAGGGGCCGCUAGGAGUAGCUGGAGAUAUUCUCAGAAGCAACUGUCACAGCCUGACCUAGUCACCACUCAGCCGGCCCACCUAUCACAGAUGAGAAAUUCAGGGGUGGGGGGCAGCAAGCACCAUUCAUGGUGAGCCUGGCACAGCCCUGUGCCUGCUACCUGCCCUCCACUCCCACACAGGCUUCGUGAGGGCCUGGGUUCUCCCAGCGCCCGUGGGACCAGCGUCUGGACCUGGGUCAGUGACUACAGGAUUAGCUGGUGACAGAGCUAGUUCAGCAUUAUUAGUCAUUAAGGAAAUGCAAACUAGAGCCACAGAGAAGUGCCGCCACAUGACUGUUAGUCUGGCUGAAAGAAAAAAUUUGACAACAUCACGUGCUGAUCAGGACACAAAGCAACUGGAACUCUCAGACAUGCUGGAGAAAAUGCAAAAUGGUACAGCCACUUUGGCCAGCACUUGGCAUUGUCUAAAGUUAAGCAUGCACUUGCCAUACAACCCAGCAAUCUUAUUGCUAGAUAUUUCCCCAGGAGAAAUGAAAAUUUAGGCUCACACAAAAUCCUAUAUACAACCACUUAUAGAAGCUUUAUUCAUAAUCACCCCAAACUGAAAAUAAUCCAAAUGUCCUUCAGCUGGUGAGCAAACAAAAAACUAUGAUACAUACAUCCAUAGUAUGGAAUACUAUACAGCCAUAAAAAGGAAUGGACUAUAUUGAUAAGAGUAACAAUGUGGGAUGGAUCUCAAAUGUGCUAUGUUACAUGAAAGAAGCCAGACUCAACAAGUUCCAUACUUACAAUUCUGUUUACAUUUCUGAAAAAGCAAAACAGAUCAGUGGUUGCAGGAGCCUGUGGGCAGUGAUGGUGAGGUUGACUUCAAAGGGGUACAAGGGAAUUGUGGGGGGCUGGUAGAAGUACUUUAUAUGUUGAUUGUGGUGAUGAUUACGUGGCUGUAUGCAUUUAUCAAAACUCAUAAAACUGGGUUUAUCCUAGUAGUUGAGACAGUAAUUAAUACCCACAUUCUAUAUAGCCUGGGUUUGCUGCCUGACUGUCGCUUUUGAUGCCAGCUUCCUGCUAAUACACUCCAUGGGAGGCAGUGGUGAUGGCUCAAGUAACUGGGGUCCUGCUACCAAUGUGGGAAUCCUGAAUUGAAUUUCCAGCUUCUGGCUUUGACCCAGCCCAGCCCUGGCUGUUGUUGGGAAGUGAACCAGUGGAUGAGAACUCUGUCUCUGUGUUGCUCUGUGUGUAUAUGUGUGUCUGCCUCUCAAAUUUAAAAAGGUCAUAGAACUUUACCCCACAAUAGGUGGAUUUUACUGCAUGCACGUAAAACUUCAAUAAACCUGACUAUAAAAGACACACCCAUCCCAGGGACUUGGAGUGUGUUUUCUCAUCCAUUCAGUCAUUUGAUUGCUCCCUCAGCAGGCAUUCAUUGAGUGCCUAUACCAGAUAUCAUGUCCAUUAAAUCUUCCCUAAGAGCUUCAGGCUCCUGUGUCACAUGGAAACCCCCAUAGGAAGAGCAGCCAGAGCCAACCCUCGACGGCUGUGGAUGAGUGUGAAGUUCCCUGUGGGUACAUUCCCAUGGGGUCAGGCUUCCUGGCUCGGAGCCUCUUGAGGGAGUCCAAACUCUAGAAAGUGUGGCUAAAGUGGUGGAGCCAAGAAGGGUCACUUGGGAGGGAUUUGCUUCCUCACUGAGGCAUUGUCCCCACAGAAUUUGAGCAGGAUGUGGCCAGGUAGCCAUGCCCCUCAAGGUUCUGUCCACAGAGCCUGGCCAUGGUGGGGAAGCAGGGCCUAGGCACAUUUGCUCGGGGGCUCCUCCCCUGUUCACGAGGAUGUCUGUGUCUGCCCACCUGAGACGGAAGUGGCCUUGGCUUCCCUGGUGAGAACUCAUGUGAGAAAUCUUAAGAUGAACUCAUGGUGUGGGGCAUGCAUCCAGAAUCAUUGUCCUAUGGAACAAAGAACAAACCAGAACUGAGGGUGUCAACCCCGACAUCUUAAAAAUAUGAACGGAGUAGAGAACAAAUGACAAGAUGGAUGGAGAGGACACCGUUUAGUGUGUUAAAAACAUAGAACAGUGCCAUAUAUUGUAACAGAUACAAACUCAAAAACUUAAAAAACAUGAACGGGCUGGCACCGUGGCGCAGUAGGUUAAUCCUCCACCUGUGGCACUGGCAUCCCAUGUGGGCGCCGGUUCUAGUCCCAGUUGCCCCUCUUCCAAUGCAGCUCUCUGCUGUGUCCUGGGAAAGCAGUAGACGAUGGCCCAAGUGCUCGGGCCCCUGCAAUUGCAUGGGAGACCAGGAAGAAACUCUUGGCUCCUGGCUUCGGAUCGGCGUAGCUCUGGCUGUUGCGGUCAUUUAGGGAGUGAACCAAUGGAAGGAAAACCUUUUUUUUUUUUUUUUUUUGACAGGCAGAGUGGACAGUGAGAGAGAGAGACAGAGAGAAAGGUCUUCCUUUUGCCGUUGGUUCACCCUCCAAUGGCCGCCGCGGCUGGCGCGCUGCGGCCGGCGCACCGCACUGAUCCGAUGGCAGGAGCCAGGAGCCAGGUGCUUUGGAAGGAAAACCUUUCUCUCUGUCUCUCCCUCUCACUGUCUGUAACUCUACCUCCCAAAUAAAUAAAUAAAAUCUUUUUAAAAAAAGAAAAAAAAAACCAUGAACAAGAAGGAGACAUACUAACUUCAGAAGUGGAUUAGUUUUGAGGAGGACUGUUAGUGAGAAAGAAAACAAAGAAGGCAAAAUGUUAGCACUUGUUAAACCUGAGGUGCAUGAGUUAUACGGAGGGAGUGCUACCUCCCAAAUAAAUAAAUAAAAUCUUUUUAAAAAAAGAAAAAAAAACAUGAACAAGAAGGAGACAUACUAACUUCAGAAGUGGAUUAGUUUUGAGGAGGACUGUUAGUGAAAAAGAAAACAAAGAAGGCAAAAUGUUAGCACUUGUUAAACCUGAGGUGCAUGAGUUAUACGGAGGGAGUGUGUUACAUAACAUUUUCUGUACUUUGGGUUGAAAUAUUUUGUGCUUUCAAAGCCAGACAGCCAUUGCAGUACACUGAGCUCCACAGAGACAGCGCUGUGGCAAGUGAGAGCUGGAGGGGUACUGGGGGUGACUGUGCCUUGCUGAGGAGAAAUAACUAAACAUGGGCAAAGGAGAUCCUAAGAAGCAGAGAGGCCAAAUGUCACCGUACGCAUUCCUUGUGCAAACUUGGCAUGAGGAGCACAAGAAGGAGCAUCUAGAUACUUCCGUCAACUUCCCGGAGUUUUCUAAGAAGUGCCCAGAGAGGGGGAAGACCGUGUGUGCUAAAGAGAAGGGAAAAUGUGAAGACAGGGCCUAGACACACAAGGCUCAUUAUGAGAGAGAAAGAAACCUAGCUCCUUCGUAAAGGGGAGACCCCCCCCCAAAAAAAAGAAAAAAGAAGAAGAAGAAGAAGUUCAAGGAUCCCCAAACACCUAAGAGGUCUCCUUCAGUCUCUGUCUUUCUUCCUUCCCCCCUUCCUUCCUUCCUUUAUUUCUUUUUUGGUCUUUUUCUUGUUCUGUUCUGAGUAUCUCCCAAAAAUCAAAGGAGAACAUCCUGGCCUUUCCACUGGCGAUGUUGCAAAGAAGCUGGGAGAGGUGUGGAGUAUCACUGCCGCAGAGGCCAAGCAGCCUGGGAGAGAGGGCUGCUAAGCUGAAGGAAAACUACGGAAAGGAUAUUGCCGCACGCCGAGCUUCAGGAAAACCUGAUGCGGCAAACGGAGCUGUCCGGGAUGGAAAGAGCCAGGAGAGGAAGGAAGAGGAGGAAGACGCAGGAGAAGAUGAAUGAGUUGGUUCUAGUGAAGUUUUUUUUUUUCUUGUCUAGAAAGCAUUUAACCCCCCCUGUACACAACACACUGCUUUUCAAGAAAAAAAAAUUGAACUGUAAGGCUGUGUAAGAUUUGUUUUUAAACUGUAACAGUGUCUUUUUCUGCUUAGUUAACGCACUACCAAAUGGAUCCUUAGAGAGCCUUGUCCUGGUGGUAUUUUUUUUUUUUUUUUUUUGACAGGCAGAGUGGACAGUGAGAGAGAGACAGAGAGAAAGGUCUUCCUUUUGCCGUUGGUUCACCCUCCAAUGGCUACCGUGGCCGGCGCUGAUCCGAUGGCAGGAGCCAGGUGCUUCUCCUGGUCUCCCAUGUGGUGCAGGGCCCAAGGACUUGGGCCAUCCUCCACUGCACUCCCGGGCCACAGCAGAGAGCUGGCCUGGAAGAGGGGCAACCGGGACAGAAUCCGGCGCCCCGACCGGGACUAGAACCCGGUGUGCUGGCACCUCAAGGCGGAGGAUUAACCUAGUGAGCCAUGGCGCUGGCGUGGUAUUUUCAAUAGCCAUUAGCCUUGCCUGGUACAGUAUGGGGGUUGUAAGUUGGCGUGGAAAUUUAAAGCAGGUUCUUGUUGGUGCAUAGCAUGGAUUCGUUGUAGAGAGGUGGUGGUUUUUUCAUCUUCAGUUGUCUCUGAUGCAGCGUAUCUGAAAUAAUUGUUCUAUUACCUGAAUGCUACUCUGACUUGCAGCUGUUUUGUUGACACUGCAAAUGCUUCUAAGUAAAUACAAUUUUUUAAGUAAAGAAAAUAAAAAUAAAAGCAAGCCAAGGGACAAGAGUUCAUCUUAGUGAUGAAGACACCAGUUAAGGGUGAGAGUGUUGUGGCAAAAGGGGCUAAAUCGCCACCAAUUGCAACAUCCGCAUCCCGGGUUGGAGGUCCUGGUUGGAGUCCUAGCUACCCUGCUUCCAAUUCACUUCCCUCCUGACGUGCUGGGAAGGCAGUGAAUGAUGGCCUAGGUGCUCGGGUCCCUGUCACCCACGCGGGAGACCUGGAGGAGUUCUUGGCUGCUGGCUUUGGUCUGGCCCAAGCCAGGUUGUUGUGGACAUUUGGGGAAUGAGCCAGCAGAUGAGAGAUCUCUCUUUGUUACUCUGCCUUUCAAAUAAAGAAAUUGGUUACAAUGGUAAGUUGUAUGUUAUCUAUAUUUUGCCACAAUAAAAAUAAAUAAAAACAAGUCAGAACAGGCAAAUCUCUAGAGACAGAAAGUACAUCAGUGGCUGCCUGGGGCUGGGGAGGAUGCCAGGAAAAUGGCUAGGGUGUAGGCUUUCUUUCUGGGGAAAGCAAUGUCCUGAAAUCGAUUUUACUGAUGGAUGCACAACCCUGGGACCACACUGAACGCCAUGAGUGGAAGGCUUUCAGGGGCUGAGAUGUGUUAUACGUGACCUAUAUCUCAGUAAAGUUGGUUUCAAAAAGUCAAAAGGGGAAAUCGUGUCUGCGUCGGCCACCUGACAGGAGCCAGCGGUCUGUCUGCUCUGAGCUUGGCACUGUCAUGAGUAUUGUGGAGGCAUCCGGAGCUCCAAAACCACCACGUGGCACAGGGAGUCGUAGGCGCUGCAGAACGAGGUUAAUGAGAAUCGUCUCUGGGCUCCAGGGUUUUGAGCAUUAAUUAAUACUCUCAAGGCCCUUGGUGACUGUGAAAUCAAAGGUUCUGCAAAUGUGUGCAUGCUGGCCUUAGCAGCACCGAGCAGGUACAGGGAGCAGGAAGCCAGCCUUCUUAGCAUUCAUUUAGCUCCCUGAAGUGGCUGCGAGUCCAGGCCAGGCUGAAGCUGUCUGUCUGGGCCUUGUCCUGCUUCCCAGGCCAUUCCUAGGCCUGAGUGGUCUGGAUGGCCCAGAGCUCCAGGGUGGCUGCCCUGGGUGCCCCGGGUGGCCAGGGCCCUCUCUCAGUGACUGUCCCUUCAGGCCUAGAGAAGACUUCAAGUGAGGGUGGCGGACAGCUUCCCAGGUGGCCAGUCCUUUGGGCGUUGUGUGUGCCUACUAGGAUUCAGCACAGCCAGGCCCUGUGGGACCCUGCCUGCAGCACUCAUUCUGUCCCUCUGCCCAGGGCAUCCUGCAGCUAUCACACCAUCCCAUUUUGCCUUAGCUCAGGGAUUUCCUGCCUGUUAGCUCCAUCCUGCUGCUGUCCAAGAACUCUCCCGAGAAGGGCCCUGGGUUGUCCCAAGGCCAAGUGGCACAGCCUCUCCCCCUCCUUUGUUCUGGCUUUGGUCACCCAGGCAUGGAGUCUCAGAGCACACCACCCCAUGGGCCCACAUGCAGGAGCACCGCACUCUCUCCCCAGAGCCCCUGCUUGUGCUGGGCCACGUAAUACCCUCCCCUGCAGCUGUGGCCACAAACCCACUUGUAAUCACUGGGUGGUUCCCUAACCAGGGAGGGAGGAGACAGAAACAUGCACAGGCCAGGAUCCAGGAUCUGUGGUCUUGACACUUGGAGCUCUGGGAUGGAAACCCUGGGGGCCCUUCAGCUUAGGGAUCCUGGGGGCCCAUGACUUUGAUGAUCUGCAGCCCAGGAGACACAUGGCCCUGGGUGUCCACAACCCGGGGAACUCAUAGUCUCCAAUACCUGAUGACCCUGGAGCCUGUGACCCUGGGCCAGCCUCUUGCACGUGGACUUCUGUAACCAAGCCCUGCAGGGGAGCCUGCUGAGAGUGGUGCUGAGGGGAUGCAGUGCUGAGAUGCAACACAGCCUUCCCCAUGCUGGGUCUGUUUCUGGGGACUAACCCAGCCCUCCACGGUUCCUCCGGGUAAGCUGCAUCCUCGUGGAUGGACACUGGUCACUCCUGCCAGGUAGCUCUAAAGAUCACGAACCUUGUCAUCCAUAUCGGCCGUCCCUCCCUUCCUCUCCCUCCCAGCUGCCUGUCAUCCUCUAUCACAGCCAACUAUUAUUAGGUCUUUCCUUAAGCAGGGCCUGUCAAACCAGAUGGGGCUGCGGCCAGAGCCUGAUGGCUGCCUGCCAGCGACCUCCCACAGGGAGGCAGGGUAGUAUUGUGGUUAGACCCACAGGCACUGGAGACAGCUUCCUGGGUUCAAACUCUGUGUCUACCUCUUUCCUGCUAUGUGAUCCUCAGUAGGCUGCUUAAUCUCUCUGCUCCAUCUGCAAAAUAAGGGCGAGUGCUUUGCAUGGGCCUGGCAUCCAGUAAACACCCAAGGAAGGUCAGCUGACAAUGGUGCUGAAUUGACUGCUUCUAAAUCUCCCCGUACAGCUGUCUGUCCUCCACAUCUAAGAAUGUGUCCCAUGAGAGUGGGCCAGGCCUCUUCCCCAAGCCCAGUGACCCCUGUCCCCCAGCUCAGCAGAGGAAGAACUGUCCAUACUAGAUGGAUGCUGGUAUUCCCAAUGCAAUGUUGGUAUGCCAUGCUCAACUGCUGUCAGCACCACUAAGAACUGCCCCUCCAACACCUUAGUCCCCCCACCCCACUGCCUCCCAGGGGGCUGAGGCUACAUCCCAGGAGGGCCUCUGCAUGGUCAUACCAUCCCAGGGGCAGCAGGGAGGCAGCCAGCUUUCUUCUAUUCCUAGUUCAAGUUCUCUGCCACUGCAGCCCAUCUCUAAUUUGGAAGUUCUCUUAUUAUGUUUUCUUCAUGUGGCUCAGGGGAAAAUCAAAUGAAAGGGGAAUUCCCGGGUGUGUGGUGAGGGGUGGCUGCUGGCAGACAGCAACUGCAUGUCCCUGCCUAGAUGGCACAUCUGUGCUGCCCAGGAGCAUCAGAAUAGAAAGGGCCUUUCCUGGGCAUGGGUAUGGGAUACUCCUGGGCUGGGGUGCCCCCAGUUGCAGGAACAGAUGGGAGCCUGAAUCGUGUCUUUGCCAUCAGCUCCCUCAGUGCCCUAGCACAGAUGCUACCUCUCCAGGCCUCAUCGGCCCGGUCUUCAAAAUGGGAAUGACAAGCUGGCUCAGGGUCCAGAGGACUACGGCACAAUCCCCUUACAGAGGGUGGAGGAUCGCUUAGCUGCCAGCGUAAGGGAGGCCGAGGCCCAGUUUAGCUCACCCCUGGUGCCCAAGGCCCCCAUCCUCACAUCUCUCUCACCUCCUUUCCUGGUCAGCAGUGUCUGCUGGUCUGGGGGUCCCAGGAGAGGCCACUCCAACCUCCUAUCUGUGUAUGUAUGUAUAUGUGUGUAUGUAUAUGUAUGUAUGUAUAUGUGUGUAUGUAUAUGUAUGUAUAUAGGUGUGUGUGUAUAUAUAUAUAUAUUUAAAAGGAAGAGAGACAGAGAGAGAGAGAGAAUGAAUAGCUUCCAUUUGCUGGUUAACACCCCAAAUGGCCACGAUGGUCAGGGCUGGGCCAAGCCAAAGCCAGGAACCAGGAACUCCAUCCAGGUCUUCUAAAUGGGUGGCAGGGACCCUAGUACUUGGGCCAUCUUUCACUGCCUUCCCAGGUGCAUUAGCAGGUAGCUGGAUCAAAAGUGGAGCAGCUAGGACUUGAGGCGAUGCUCCAAAAUAGGAUGCUGGCAUUGUAGGUGGUAGCUUAGUCUGCUGUGCCACAAUGCUGGCCCCAAGAGCAGAGAGUCUGAAUGAUGUUGAUGGUGGCUGGGGAGCUGUGGAUAUUGACUGCUAGUUUUUCCAAUGGGCAGAGGGUACCAAGUCCAGCUCAUUCUACACAUGGGAUGUGAGAAAGUUUGGAGAUAGAGUGUGGUUCACUUCCAGGGGACAAGUCACACUGUGCCACUCUUGCAUAGGAUAUAUUCGAGGGUAUUAGGAAGUGGUGGUACCCGGCUGGCAGGGAUGGAUCACAUUGGUGCUAUGAGCCAGGUCCAGAAACGACCUUACCCUGAAGGCAAUGGGGAGCCAUAGGUGGUUGUAGGUGGGGAGUGCCAUGAUCAUGUGCUCUAAGGUUCAUUCUAGUUGUAAGUAUGGAGAUUGAACUGGAGGUAUGAGAACAGGUCUGAGAGGCCUGAAAGAGAGCAAAGGUGGGAGGUUGGCAAAGAGGGCAUGAACAAGUGAGAAUUAAGGAAGUAAAACUGGCAGGACAUGUUAUAUGGGUCCUUGGGCCCCUUUUGUUACCCUGAUGAGUUGUAGAAGCCUAUGGGAGGGGCUAAGCAUAUCAGGUCCCAUGUGAGGUCCCUGACUUAAUUCUACUGCCCAUCCUCAAGUGACCUUUGAAGUAGAGAACCAUCAUGCCCAAGAAGGAAACCCAGUUGGGUAGUGAGGCUGCAAGGAUCAGGAUUCAAAUCUCUCAGCGUGAGCCAGUGGGCCACAAGGCGCUGGGUCUCAGACAAACAUGUUUGCAGGUAGCCAGAGCAAUUCUUCCUAUGAAGGGCGCCAGGUGUGGCUGCAAGGGCUCCCUGCCCCUGCCUCACUGCCUGCCCAGUCCCCAGUGCUGUGACUCUGCCUACCUUUGAGGUAGGGUUCCAGGGCCCCAAAUGACUCAUCACCUAUUCACAGAAGGCCAGAGCAGGAUCAGCCAGGGCUGGGCCACAGGGACUGUGAAGUAUAGGCAGCUUCUAGAUGUCUAAACUCAGUGAUCCUCAGUACAAGUUAGUGCU